CGCCAGACUCCUACGGGAGGCAGCAGUGGGGAAUAUUGCACAAUGGGGGGAACCCUGAUGCAGCGACGCCGCGUGGGUGAAGGAGUAUUUCGGUAUGUAAAGCCCUAUCAGCAGGGAAGAACAAUGACGGUACCUGACUAAGAAGCACCGGCUAAAUACGUGCCAGCAGCCGCGGUAAUACGUAUGGUGCAAGCGUUAUCCGGAUUUACUGGGUGUAAAGGGGGCGCAGACGGCGAUGCAAGCCAGGAGUGAAAGCCCGGGGCCCAACCCCGGGACUGCUCUUGGAACUGCGUGGCUGGAGUGCAGGAGGGGCAGGCGGAAUUCCUGGUGUAGCGGUGAAAUGCGUAGAUAUCAGGAGGAACACCGGUGGCGAAGGCGGCCUGCUGGACUGCAACUGACGUUGAGGCCCGAAAGCGUGGGGAGCAAACAGGAUUAGAUACCCCCGUAGUC
rnacentral:rRNA from 1 species